ensembl:miRNA
AAUGACGGAGGUGCAGGCAUUUCCUGAGGAUUAAUGACCAGCUGGGAGGAACCAGUGGCCCUUGGCUCUGCCUCCCGGCCAGCCAUUAAUUCCAAGGAAAUGUCUUUUGCUGAAGUCGUU